UACAGAGGUCUCAAGCGUUGUUCGGAUUCAUUGGGCGUAAAGGGUGUGUAGGUGGCGCGCUAAGUCGGGUGUGAAAUUUCGGAGCUUAACUCCGAAACUGCAUUCGAUACUGGCGUGCUUGAGGACUGGAGAGGAGACUGGAAUUUACGGUGUAGCAGUGAAAUGCGUAGAUAUCGUAAGGAAGACCAGUGGCGAAGGCGGGUCUCUGGACAGUUCCUGACACUGAGACACGAAGGCCCAGGGGGAGCAAAACGGGG
rnacentral:rRNA from 1 species